GGUUAAAAGUUUCAUCAAUUUGUAAUUUUAAAAAUUGACAUGGCAGACGGAAUAAUCAUACAAAAACACAUAGUGUGCCACGCGUACUCAUAGUAAUGUACAGAGAUCAGUUUUUAAUGGUAAAAAGUGGAGGAACUUUUAACA
rnacentral:pre_miRNA from 1 species